rnacentral:rRNA from 1 species
CCUACGUGAGGCAGCAGUGAGGAAUAUUGGUCAAUGGGCGCGAGCCUGAACCAGCCAAGUAGCGUGAAGGAUGACUGCCCUACGGGUUGUAAACUUCUUUUAUAAAGGAAUACAGUGAGGCACGUGUGCCUUUUUGUAUGUACUUUAUGAAUAAGGAUCGGUUAACUCCGUGCCAGCAGCCGCGGUAAUACGGAGGAUCCGAGCGUUAGCCGGAUUUAUUGGGUUUAAAGGGAGCGUAGAUGGGUUGUUAAGUCAGUUGUGAAAGUUUGCGGCUCAACCGUAAAAUUGCAAUUGAUACUGGCAGUCUUGAGUACAGUUGAGGUAGGCGGAAUUCGUGGUGUAGCGGUGAAAUGCUUAGAUAUCACGAAGAACUCCGAUUGCGAAGGCAGCUUACUAAACUGCCACUGACAUUGAUGCUCGAAAGUGUGGGUAUCAAACAGGAUUAGAUACCCGAGUAGUC